UACGGAGGAUUCGAGCGUUAUCCGGAUUUAUUGGGUUUAAAGGGAGCGUAGGCGGGUUGUUAAGUCAGUUGUGAAAGUUUGCGGCUCAACCGUAAAAUUGCAGUUGAUACUGGCAUCCUUGAGUACAGUAGAGGUAGGCGGAACUCGUGGUGUAGCGGUGAAAUGCUUAGAUAUCACGAAGAACUCCGAUUGCGAAGGCAGCCUGCUGGACUGUAACUGACGCUGAUGCUCGAAAGUGUGGGUAUCAAACAGG
rnacentral:rRNA from 1 species